GGGCGGUUCGUAUAGCGGCAAUUACGUUUGGCUGUAAACCAAAUGCCUUCGGGCUUCGGGGGUUCGAGUCCCUCACCGCCCA
rnacentral:tRNA from 1 species